rnacentral:rRNA from 1 species
GAUGAACGCUGGCGGCGUGCCUAAUACAUGCCAGUCGAGCGAACAGACGAGGAGCUUGCUCCUCUGACGUUAGCGGCGGACGGGUGAGUAACACGUGGAUAACCUACCUAUAAGACUGGGAUAACUUCGGGAAACCGGAGCUAAUACCGGAUAAUAUAUUGAACCGCAUGGUUCAAUAGUGAAAGACGGUUUUGCUGUCACUUAUAGAUGGAUCCGCGCCGCAUUAGCUAGUUGGUAAGGUAACGGCUUACCAAGGCAACGAUGCGUAGCCGACCUGAGAGGGUGAUCGGCCACACUGGAACUGAGACACGGUCCAGACUCCUACGGGAGGCAGCAGUAGGGAAUAUUGCGCAAUGGGCGAAAGCCUGACGGAGCAACGCCGCGUGAGUGAUGAAGGUCUUCGGGUCGUAAAACUCUGUUGUUGGGAAAGAAAAAAAGUGUAAGUAACUAUGCACGUCUUGACGGUACCUAAACAGAAAGCCACGGCUAACUACGUG